rnacentral:ncRNA from 1 species
AUCUUAAGCAUAAGAUAAUAUAUUCUUACGAUAUGGGUAAGAGUUUCUACCGGGUUGCCAUAAACAUCCGACUAUUAUCAAAAAAAG